CAGAUGCAGGGGGCAGGGCUUCAAGCAAAAUCAUUCCCCAGGGCUGCGAGGUGGGGCCCCUGAUUGGCAGUGGCCCAGGUUCUUUGAACCCGUUCACCCAGUGGUGGCUCUGCCCCUGGUUUGGCCCUUAUAAAGGCAGGCAGCUGCUGAAGCCAGCCAAUAAAGGGGAUCAGUCUUUGGUGGAGGACUGGGGCAGGAUGACCACCUGAUAGUGGUGCAUUGUUGCCUUAUUAUUGGUUGUAUCUUGUACAGGUAUGUGUCUUGGGUUGUCCAGAGAUGGGGGGUGAUCCCAGAGAUGGGAUGGCCAUUCCAGUGGUGGUGUGGCAUCAACAAAGACAUGGCAUUGGAAUAAAUUUGUUAAUGCAGCACCUUUCUUGGCACAACAACUCUGCAAAAACUCGAAGCACUGAUGGCUCGUCAGGGUAAUUUGAGAGGACUGGUGGCUUGUUUUACAUUCAGUAGAAACUUCCAGUUGAAAAUGCAUAGUGGAUAAGAGAGGUUCAGAGCAGCUCACAACAUUUUUUUCCUUAGGACCCUCCUCCCCUAAAGGAGAAUAUGAGAGGCCAGAUGACAUCAAUGACAUUGCAAACACAGUGUAUUUUAAAGAAAAUGACACAAAUGGAUUAAAA